rnacentral:rRNA from 1 species
GUGAGGAAUAUUGGUCAAUGGGCGGGAGCCUGAACCAGCCAAGUCGCGUGAAGGAAGAAGGAUCUAUGGUUCGUAAACUUCUUUUGCAGGGGAAUAAAGUGCAGGACGUGUCCUGUUUUGUAUGUACCCUGAGAAUAAGGAUCGGCUAACUCCGUGCCAGCAGCCGCGGUAAUACGGAGGAUCCGAGCGUUAUCCGGAUUUAUUGGGUUUAAAGGGUGCGUAGGUGGUUUGAUAAGUCAGCGGUGAAAGUUUGCAGCUUAACUGUAAAAAUGCCGUUGAAGCUGUCGGACUUGAGUGUAAAUGAGGUAGGCGGAAUGCGUGGUGUAGCGGUGAAAUGCAUAGAUAUCACGCAGAACUCCGAUUGCGAAGGCAGCUUACUAAGCUACAACUGACACUGAAGCACGAAAGCGUGGGGAUCAAACAGGAUUAGAAACCCUGGUAGUCC